GACGAACGCUGGCGGCGUGCUUAACACAUGCAAGUCGAACGGAGAACGCGUGCUCUUGCUCGCUCCUCGACUGUCGAACAGGUGUGUAAAACACGUGUAACCUCUCCCUCGAACUCGGGUAUAUUCAGUGAAAACGACGUCUAAUACCGGAGACGCCCCGGCUGGGCGUCCUGUCCGGGGGGAAAUCACGGCGGGGCGGGUUGGGCUCGCGGCCUAUCAGCUUGUUGGUGAGGUAGCGGCUUACCAAGGCGGAGACGGGUAGCCGGCCUGAGAGGGUGACCGGCCACACUGGGACUGAGAUACGGCCCAGACUCCUACGGGAGGCAGCAGUGGGGAAUAUUGCACAAUGGGCGGAAGCCUGAUGCAGCAACGCCGCGUGCGGGAUGACGGCCUUCGGGUUGUAAACCGCUUUCGGCUGUGAAGAAGCGUGAGUGACGGUACUGGGAGAAGAAGCACCGGCUAACUACGUG
rnacentral:rRNA from 1 species